GAUGAACGCUGGCGGCGUGCCUAAUACAUGCAAGUCGAACGAACAGAUAAUGAGCUUGCGCCUCUAACGGUGGCGGCGGACGGGUGGGUAACACAUGGAUAGCAUUCCUAUAAUACGGGGGGGACUUCGUGAAAAAGGAUAUGAUACCAGAGCAUAUAUUAAACCGCAGAGAGCAAGGGUUAAAGGGGGUUUGGCUGACACUUAGAGACGAAUUCGGAUUAGCUAGUUGGGUGGGUAAAGGCCCACCAAGGCAACGCAACGAAGCUGGUCUGAGAGGAUGAUCAGCCACACUGGAACUGAGACACGGUCCAGACUCCUACGGGAGGCAGCAGUGGGGAAUAUUGGACAAUGGGCGCAAGCCUGAUCCAGCCAUACCGCGUGGGUGAAGAAGGCCUUCGGGUUGUAAAGCCCUUUUGUUGGGAAAGAAAAGCAGCAGGUUAAUACCCCGCUGUUCUGACGGUACCCAAAGAAUAAGCACCGGCUAACUUCGUG
rnacentral:rRNA from 1 species